rnacentral:tRNA from 1 species
CGCGGGGUAGAGCAGUUGGUAGCUCGUCGGGCUCAUAACCCGGAGGUCGGUGGUUCGAGUCCGCCCCCCGCUA